GACGAACGCUGGCGGCGUGCUUAACACAUGCAAGUCGAACGGAAAGGCCCUGCUUUUGUGGGGUGCUCGAGUGGCGAACGGGUGAGUAACACGUGAGUAACCUGCCCUUGACUUUGGGAUAACUUCAGGAAACUGGGGCUAAUACCGGAUAGGAGCUCCUGCUGCAUGGUGGGGGUUGGAAAGUUUCGGCGGUUGGGGAUGGACUCGCGGCUUAUCAGCUUGUUGGUGGGGUAGUGGCUUACCAAGGCUUUGACGGGUAGCCGGCCUGAGAGGGUGACCGGCCACAUUGGGACUGAGAUACGGCCCAGACUCCUACGGGAGGCAGCAGUCGGGAAUAUUGCACAAUGGGCGGAAGCCUGAUGCAGCAACGCCGCGUGCGUGAUGACGGCCUUCGGGUUGUAAACCUCUUUCGCCUGUGACGAAGCGUUAGUGACGGUAAUUGGUAAAGAAGCACCGGCUAACUACGUG
rnacentral:rRNA from 1 species